GACGAACGCUGGCGGCGUGCCUAAUACAUGCAAGUCGAGCGCAGGAAACUGACGGAACUCUUCGGAGGGAAGGCAGUGGAAUGAGCGGCGGACGGGUGAGUAACACGUAAGGAACCUGCCUCAAGGAUUGGGAUAACUCCGAGAAAUCGGAGCUAAUACCGGAUAGUUCAACGGACCGCAUGGUCCGCUGAUGAAAGGCGCUCCGGCGUCACCUUGAGAUGGCCUUGCGGUGCAUUAGCUAGUUGGUGGGGUAACGGCCCACCAAGGCGACGAUGAAUAGCCGAGCUGAGAGGGUGAUCGGCCAGACUGGGACGGGGACACGGCCCAGACUCCUACGGGAGGCAGCAGUAGGGAAUCUUCCACAAUGGACGAAAGUCUGAUGGAGCAACGCCGCGUGAGUGAUGAAGGUUUGCGGAUCGUAAUACUCUGUUGUAAGGGAAGAACGCGUACGAGAGGAAAUGCUCGUACCUUGACGGUACCUUACGAGAAAGCCACGGCUAACUACGUGCCAGCAGCCGCGGUAA
rnacentral:rRNA from 1 species